CACGUAGGGCGCGAGCGUUGUCCGGAAUUAUUGGGCGUAAAGAGCUCGUAGGCGGCCUGUUGCGUCCGCUGUGAAAGCCCGGGGCUUAACCCCGGGUCGGCAGUGGAUACGGGCAGGCUAGAGGUAGGUAGGGGAGAAUGGAAUUCCCGGUGUAGCGGUGAAAUGCGCAGAUAUCGGGAGGAACACCGGUGGCGAAGGCGGUUCUCUGGGCCUUAACUGACGCUGAGGAGCGAAAGCAUGGGGAGCGAACAGG
rnacentral:rRNA from 1 species